GACGAACGCUGGCGGCGUGCUUAACACAUGCCAGUCGAACGCUGAAGCUUGGUGCUUGCACUGGGUGGAUGAGUGGCGAACGGGUGAGUAAUACGUGAGUAACCUGCCCUUGACUCUGGGAUAAGCCUGGGAAACUGGGUCUAAUACUGGAUACGACAUGUCACCGCAUGGUGGUGUGUGGAAAGGGUUUUAGUGGUUUUGGAUGGGCUCACGGCCUAUCAGCUUGUUGGUGGGGUAAUGGCUCACCAAGGCGACGACGGGUAGCCGGCCUGAGAGGGUGACCGGCGACACUGGGACUGAGGCACGGCCCAGACUCCUACGGGAGGCAGCAGGGGGGAAUAUUACGCAACGGGCGGAAGCCUGAUGCGGCGACGUCGGGUUAGGGAUGACGGCCUUCGGGUUGUAAACAACUUUCAGCGUGGAAGAACCGAAAGUGACGGUACGUGCAGAGGAAGCGCCGGCUAACUACGUG
rnacentral:rRNA from 1 species